rnacentral:lncRNA from 1 species
GCCAGCUCACUUUGCUUUCAACUUCCAAGUCCACUGAAAGUUUCCAGUCCCAGGAUUUUAGGAAGAAGAAAGAAGAUACUAGACAUUUCUGUGAGCAGCCAGGGAGCUGUGGGAUCCAGUGCAGGGACGGGGAGGAGGGGCUCUGCCACUCCCAGCCUGGGAAUGAAGUGGAGCCAAUGGCCAGAGCUUCCCUAGGGCUGGGUCAAAUCUCCCUGCUCCAGGCAUGAAGAGAAAGGAAAAGGCUGCUCCAGGUGGGAGAAGGCUGGUCCAGCUCCUUGUUAAAGAAGAAACAGGAAAAGACAGCAACAGGGGGAAGUCACAGGGGAACUGAUAUUUUGUCAAAAGAUGCUGGGUUUCUGGCUCUCUCCUGCUUUCCAACUUUCCCUGGAUCCCCACUGCCUACAGGUCUCCACUUUAAGCUCCACCACCCAGCAUCCAGCACUGUCCAGGAUCCAGCCUUUCCUCCCACUUCAGCCGCUCUGCCACCAGACUGCCCCUUGUGCCCCGCACCUGGGCUCCAGCCCACUUCCAAUCUCACCUUUUCCCACUGUUACCCAUCUCUAUAUUUUGGCUCUUCAGCUCCAGCCUGUCAAAACUCUGUCUAGCUUUCAAAGCCCAGGCAUCUCACCUCCUUAACAAGCCCCCCAAUUUCUCCAAGCAA